rnacentral:rRNA from 1 species
AACAAACGCUGGCGGCGUGUCUUAAGCAUGCAAGUUGAGCGGCAAGGAGGAGAGAUCCUCCCUAGAGCGGCGGACUGGUGAGUAACGCGUGGGUAAUCUAUCGUAGGCAUGGGGAUAGUCACUAGAAAUAGUGGGUAAUACCGAAUACGUUCCAUGAGGGGAGUAUUCAUGGAAGAAAGGGUGCUACGGCACUGGCCUUAGGUGAGCUCGCGUCCCAUUAGCUAGUUGGUGAGGUAAAGGCCCACCAAGGCGAUGAUGGGUAGCCGGCCUGAGAGGGUGUACGGCCACACUGGGACUGAGAUACGGCCCAGACUCCUACGGGAGGCAGCAGCUAAGAAUAUUCCGCAAUGGACGAAAGUCUGACGGAGCGACGCCGCGUGGAUGAAGAAGGCCGAAAGGUUGUAAAGUUCUUUUGCUAGGGGAGAAUAAGCGAGGGAGGGAAUGCCCUCAUGAUGACAAGGACUAGCGAAUAAGCCCCGGCCAACUACGUG